rnacentral:lncRNA from 1 species
UUACCAGGUCUCUUCUCCCUUUCCUUACCCUAGGGUUACUGAAGGAAGUCUGGGAGGAUCCUACUCACAAAUAGCUUUCAAGUGCUGCUUCUUCUUUAUUUCUUAUGUUCCUUGUGUCCCAUAUUUGGACACCAUAUGUUCAGACUACCAGACUAGCUCUCUGGAGGAUCUCUGGAUGAGACUUGGUCUUAGGUGGAGGAGUGAUGAAGAAAUAUUCUAUGUAACAAAAUGCAUAUAUGAUAAUUCGAUGAGGAAGAAAAAAAUUAACAACUAAGGACUUCAGGAAAGACUCCCAUAGGAAAUAGCACAUGAGAAAAACUUCUGAAGGAAACUGGAACUCCUAAGAAAUGAAGAUGAGAAGAGAUCAUAAAUGAAAACAUAGAUCAUAGAUGAAAACAAAGAAAGAGGAAAUGUAAUACUAAGUUCAGAGAAUUUCAAAUAGGCCAACUUGCUUGGAAUGUAGAAUGUAGGAAGGAUAUCAGGACAAAAAAGCCUGAAAAGGUAGGUUAAAUCCAGACUGUAAAAGGCUCUGAAGACAAGAUGAAGAAUUUGUAUGUUAUCCUAGAGACCUUAGGAAGCUAUUGAAUUUUCCUAAGCAAGGAAGUACCAAGGUUACAUGUUUUAGAAAGGUGUUUUUUUUUUCUUUUUGUUAUUGUUUUUGGGUUUUUUCUUUUUUGCAUCUAUAUGACACAUGAAUUGGAAAGAAGAGCCAGGAAUCCAAGUGUUCGGUUAAGAAGCUGUUGUUAUAGUCUAAAUGUGAGAUAAUUUUGGGAAGUUUGCUGAUCAGAAGUUCUUGAGCAAGACUAUUUUGGUUGUUAUGUAAAAGUGAGGUGAGAAGCCAGGUGACCUAUAAAUAAGAGGUUAUUACAGGGAUAAGCAGGACAACUCCUAACCCAAUGGCAAGAAGUAAUGAGGACUUGAACUAGACUGAUGGUUAUGUGAGAAGAUAUCAGGUGAGAGAGAAAUUGUGGAGGAGACUACAAAAUACUCAAAUUAAUUCAAUAUUGGAAGAUGGAAGAGAGAGAGAGGAAAUAAAGGGAUCUUGCA